rnacentral:lncRNA from 1 species
CCCUUGGCCGCCGCCCCCCCCCCUGUCCACCUCCUCCUCCCUCCAUUGUUGCAGCCACCAAAACCCUAGCCGCCCCCCCCCAAUCCCCUCCUCCCUAGGUGCUACUCCGUGCCGCUCGGAUCAUCGUCUUGUGGUGCGAAUCUCCAAUCAUUUUGGUGGAAGGAAGAAGGGAGGAAGGAAAAGGGGAGAACCCAAGGUAAUUUUUCUUUUGUGUUCAUCCCUUGUUCAUUUGCGCUGCGAUUCAAUGGAUUAGAUGUUGCGUUUGCGAUUAGAUAGAGGGGUGGCUGUCCAGAAUUUUGCGUGGUGGAUGAACAGCGGUAGUUCCAGCAGUUUUUAGUUUUUUUUCGUGAAGAUUUAAUGGGGAUCAAUUUGGGAAUCUUGUAGAACUUUGUUUUAUCUUUCCAACGAGUAUUUAUGCGCUCAAUUUGGAGUUAUAAAUUAAAAGUUAUCAUCGUUUGAAUCCGGGUAUGUGGCUGUCCAGAAAACAGAUUUUUCAGAGUGAUGAACAGCAGCAGUGUUAGCAGUUUCUGGGAAUUUUUCGGGAGCAAUUAGUGUUAAUAAGUAUGAGAAUCUUGUAGAACUUUGUUUUAUCUUUCCAACGAGUAUUUAUGCGCUCAAUUUGGAGUUAUAAAUUAAAAGUUAUCAUCGUUUGAAUCCGGGUAUGUGGCUGUCCAGAAAACAGAUUUUUCAGAGUGAUGAACAGCAGCAGUGUUAGCAGUUUCUGGGGAUGUUUCGGGAGUAAUUAGUGUUAAUCAGUAUGAGAAUCAUGUAGGGCUUUUUCUUAUCUUUCCAACAAGUACUUAUGCGCUCAAAUCGGAAUUAUAUUUUAAAAGUUAUCGCUGUUUGAAUCCGCGUAUGUCGCUGCUCAAAUCAGAAAAAAACAGAUUGCAGGGUUUAUUUUGAGGACCGUUUAGAGGUAAGUAGAUGUUAGAAUUCGAUCAUGAGUUGUAUACAAAACUUGUGGGGAAUUUUAUGUAGUUGUCUCUGAAGUUUUUGUUUAUCAUCACUGCUGUCCUAAAUUUUAAGUUAUGGAAUUGUUAAGCAGCGCCGCUGCAGUUUGGUUAGUGAGGGGAGAAUUGUUACCGUGGCGGGGUUUGAGAUUGCGCGUAGGUGCGGUGUUGUCUUUGAGUUUUUUUUCAUGAGAAUUUGGUGCACUAAGUUGGGUGUCAAAAACAGGUGGUGGACUUCCGGAU